CCUACGAGAUUUGCGAAUUUUGGUACGGCGAGGGCACGACAAGGAUUGGGGGCGGAGGUGCGGUGUAGGUACCGGUGGGAGUAGGGAGCACGAGGUGGUGGUUUAGGGGUGGCAGUGAAGGAAGAGGUGGCUGGUGGCUGGGAUAGGGGGGUCGAGGCGGAUGCGGAGGGACAAGCGGCGGAGGCGGAACGAAGGGGCCAGCGCCGGUAACGGUGCCACUGCCGGCGGCACGGGGGACUGCUGUAGAGCGUCGAGUUAUUGGCAGAGGCGCGCGAGCAGGCGGCGGCGCCACAGAGAAGGCGACGGUGUAGAGGGUACCUGGGGCGGGUCCGCCUGCGGAUGGAGGUGUACUAGGCGCUCGUCGUCGCGGAGCCGGAGGCGGUCGAGGCGGCCGUGCGCCGGCUUGGCCUUAUGCUCUCUCUGCAGCCUUCGUUGCGCCUCCUGCUCCUCCUCCCGCGGCCUUCCUCCUUCCCCAACCGCCGGUCCUCGAGAAACCCCGUGGCACACCUGGGAGCACUCGACCUCGGGCCGCUCAUGCAGCAAGUGUUCUUUCAGCCGCAGCCGUUCAAGCAGACAUAUUCGCCUCUCCUGCCUCUCCUGAUGCACAAGUAAGUCAUACGCCUGCGGUACCGCUUCGAACGUCAGCUGGUCCGUCGUGCGUACGAGAUGGCUAUGUUGGAAGGAGUACUCUUUUUCUCCGGUUCCUUAGAUUCGUUCGACUUACUAGGAAGAUGUACCCUCUUCUCCUCCGACUUUCCUUUCGAACGACAAGUCUUCUACCACCAGUUGAACUACCUCAAUAUAAAUGUUUCCUACUCCGUCUCUUCCGGCGGUAUGGCUUUCGGACUCCGCUACCUAGUCAAACGAAGACUUAAAGGAAUGCUCGGAUGGGGUCUGGUUUUGGUCCGAAAGUAUCUAUAACUCUUACUAGAUUGACUUUCCCUUUGUGGUUACCUGUCUAACUAGACACCUCUACAGCCCAAACCAUUUUGCCUUCAACGUUACGCACGAUAUAAGUAGCAACAUAGAUGUCCUAUAGUUCGAUACCAAGAGCGUGGUUGACAUUAUGAUCGGUUAGUUGUGAUACUACAUUACAGACUCGCAAAGAGGUUGAUGGGACUGUAUUUCCAGCGGUAUAAGUCGCCACGAGUCUCGUUCCUACUUUUCCUACUCGAUUAUUGUUUUUAAUGCUUACCCGUAAACGUUUAUUAACAACCUUGAGUACGAGAAGAAUGUCUUGCCUACCGGAUAUUGUUAGAACCAGAGGAUCACCACCUACUCCUUGUCUUCAAGCCACAUGUUGUUUUCCUCUUCUAACGUAGUAAGUUUCGAAGAUAACUACAAGAAUGGGACAGGCGUUGUGGGUAAGGUGCUUGAGACAUAGAACGAAAUUGGCCAAAGGCACUACGUUCAAAUUACAGAUGUGGUGGAGGCCUUUCUCAGCGACAGUUCUGGAUACACAGUCGUAAAUCAUCUCUUUCACGAGAUAGUCGAUAGUUUAACCUCAACUUCGCACCGCCAGUUCAAAAGAUACAACAAGGAGCUUAUUUUCGGUAUCUGCUACAUAACGUUAAAGAGUUCCUGAGAGAAGGUCUACAUGGUUACCGAUAACGAGUACCUUUCUUUCACAGUUUCUUAUAUGUUGAACGAUACCUUUUCAAAAGAACACCCCUUUAUUUCUAAGAACAUACGUGUGUAUAGUAACUUUCACCUUAUCUAUAAGGUUUACGGUUGUGUUACUAACAGGUCAUACGUCUUGAUAAACCCGAGCGCGUCGACAUAGUCAACGCUCCUUCUCAUCCUUCUAGUCCGUCUCUCCCAAAGUGUAUGGAGAAGAUGUGACUGUUCAGAAACGAAAGGUCUUAACGGUACCUAUCUGAACCUCGAUAACUUCUCGUAAGACUAGAGCCAGUUCCAAAGGUACAGCGUCUCUUCCUAUACCCAUAAUCCCCUAAACCUUCGUACAAACCACUCGUUGUUAGACCUCUGCAACGUUUACAACCGUAGCUAGACAAGAAACUAUACGAAAAACUAUCGAACAGGUUCCAACUAGUGAAAGCAGAAUUUGGGUAAGGAAUAUUUCUACAAGUCGACCUGUAAUUGUAAAGAGGCGUAGAGAGAAGACUUAUGUAUUCAAUAGAACUUUUAGGACAACUUAACGAGUUACUUCGUCGCUUUCGACGUCUUGUUCUAUAUACCUUGAAUUACGUUAAGUGUCUUCUAGAAGCAGUUGUCAUACCCUUCCUCGGGGCACUAUACCUCAACGAUAAUUUUUUCGAGAUACAUUCCGCCUACCGUCGUCUAGAACCAUAGUCGGCCUAUAUAGGUAGACCGUUUUACUAGUAGUACUUUUGUUUGUACUUGUCCUUUCAAAAAUCCGAGUACCUUCUUUGGUACCGAAGACUCUGCGUAGCGUUAAGAAACAGUAAGUGACCUUUCCUUUAAUUCCGACUUGAAGACCAGUUAGACGGUCUGUGUGAUGAAGACUUGACCGAAAAAGUAACGAAUCGCCUAACGAUACGUUAUUACGGUCGGGAACACUCUAUGAUCUAAGAAACUAACUUUACUUCCAAUACUGUUCGUGAUAUUGGACCUUACUUGAUAAGUACAAGCUCUUUUACUUUUCCGUUCUGUGUCUAUAAGUUAAUUAGCCAGUUAAAAGUCAAUUAACCGGUACCCUGCCAGAGAAGAAAACAACCACAACAGUGAAGUCCGUAAAUUAGUCGGUAACCACACAACCAUAACAGUGAAGUCCGUUUGCACAUGGUUAUUAUACGUUGUAACAAUUCUUUUAGACACUUUCACAUCACACUGUCUAAUAUGCAUAUGCAAUUGACCUACGGGUUUGCCUUUCCGCACUUGAUGUAAAGACGUAGGUGACUGUCAAAACAAAUCGAUCGUCACCGACCACACUACGUGUUAACUAUAGGACUUCACGACAAGCAGUUACCGCAAUUUCUUAAGACCAAGUCUAAGAACAACGUCUCUUCUAGAGGUUCUAAGAAGACUCCGAAAGACUACCUCUUUUAGGUCGUAACAGUGAUUGUCCACGUAUCCCAAGUACUGACCAUUGCAUAUCAAAACAUUAGUCUCACGCGACAUAAUCCACCCCUCUAACUCACUAACUAAUCAUUAGUCUUACGCGACAGAAUCCGCCCCUCUAACCCACUAACUAAUGAAAGGGAAACUAAGUCGUUUCCCAACCAAAGAGAAAAAAUCCCCUUGAUUUUGAAAUAACUAAUUGAGUAAGGUCUCCAUACUAAUGUCACAGUACGCCGAGUUCAUCGGUGUAUACAGAUCCAUGUUUCUCAUAAGGUGAUCUGAUAGUCGAAGUACUAAAGAACUAGGCGAGAGUACUGACUUUAACGUGAGUUUUCGAACACGUACAUCAGACUGGAGGGAUUCAUAUCGAAGUACCCGUAGAGGACACAAACGGAAAAUUCAGUAACUGAUGGAAGGGUGAGUUAGAGAGGAAAUCACGAUCACUAGAGGAAGUCAUACCGGGAAAGACUAGAGUUCAAGCUCGGACCCAACCGCAAGCUCCGGAAGUAGACCUUCGUUAAACCACAGGGUCACUUAGUGAAACUACCAUCGUUCGAGUUCCUUAAGCAGUACCAGCGUCUUAAGAGAGCAAGUUCCGAAGCAUAGUUGUAAGUGAGCCGGACAGAGUAAGACGUUAGAACAAAACCUCCAGUACGAAGGGCAAAGUUCCAUAGAACAUACGUUUUGACCAGAAAGUUUAAGUCACAGCAGAGAUCUCUACACCCAAAGCGAUAGUUGUUUCCACCCUUAACAAAUUUACUAGAGAAGUUACACCCAAAGAAAGCAACCCCGUUCCCUCCGGGCCUAAAAGCGUUCCUUAAGUCUGAGAUGGUUGUUCUUUAACUCGACCUUACCUGGGACCAACUAGCAAGGUUUCUAGCAUCUAGAGUACGGCUUCGUCAAGUUAGGGGUGUCUAAAAAAGAAGUCCACUUAACUUACAAGUAGGAAGUACAAAUGUACUGAAAACUAUCAAAGAGUCACGGACUAAGUUAGUUCCAGCAGAAGUUUGGGUUAGAAUUGACUUGGGUUAUUGUAGCGAUAACAACCCCGCUUUAGAUACCCAUACGCUUUAGAUACCCAUAAGUUUUAAGACCCGAACCGUUAGCGAAUCCCCGGUGAUUCCGGGUACUACUGUCUGGAGGGAAAACACAGACAACGGAGCGGUGCCCAGUGAAAACCGGGUUUACGUGAUUAUCUUAGGCGACGGUACCUACGUUAUCCUACCCGGUGCAAUUCUAAUUAACGUCUUACGCACCGUGUUAAUUACAAGGUCCAAGGUUAGGACACGGGCAGUUGGUCGUCGUUUUAGGCUCCCGAUAUCUAAGAGUUCGCUUGGCUGUCGCCGUGCGUUAGCUCGGGUCAGGUCAGUUUAGUUGUACUGAGCGCUCGAAGCCCCGGUGGAUCGUGCUCUGUCGGUGAGCCGAGCUACGGAGGUUAAGGGUGGCGUAUCAACGAGGGGACGCUGUGGGCGUAAGUAGCGUACACCAAAGGAGACAACGAGGGAGCUCGAGCGGCUGCAACGAUCUCUACCGAUGCAGAGGUAAGCUAGGGUGGGGCAAUAGGAACAAUCGACGGUACGGUAACUCCAGCUGCCGUCCUGGCGAGUGGUAGCACAUUAGGUACCACGAGAACGAGGACGGUUGCUUCUGGAGUGGUAACGAUGUUAGUAAGGUUACGGUCUUCCACUCCGACGAAAGCAGUUACAAGUUCUUCAAGACGUACUAAAGGAAGUAAGGUUCGCGUACCCACAGUGAAGAUAGAGAGCUACGGGUAAACCUGUUCGAAAACACUCUAACCAAUCGCGCCGUCUAACCCUAAAGGACCAAUUGUCUCCGGGUGUACGAAAACCUCUGUAGGUAUAACAAAAGGUUUCCGCGUUACUCCCCUACUUCACCUCUUUGAAACUUGAAUGAUCCCUACAGACCAAUGACUAACACCCAAAGGGACGACUAAACGCGAACAAGGUACUUUAGAGUUUACUGCAAGGACCAAAACCUGUUUACUACCAAACCCUAUCUAAAUUUAGUAAACUACGUCGUUGGCAACAGGCACAGUUCUAACUACGCGAAGCACUACAAGGCCGGUCAUAGAACUAGAGACCACGUUUCUUGAAGUCACCCGUCAGAACCUGGACAAGCCACUAGUAGAAACUGUACGGGUAACCAUUAGGAGACGGUCUACUUCUAGGCCACGGAAGCUUACCUUUAGGAGUGGGGUCUAGCGUCCUCGUUAAGGUAGUCGGGUUGCUUUUGGAUGAACAUCCUGGACAACCGAAAGUAGAAUACAUUGUACUACUAUUACAAGAUCUCGUUCACCUUCUCCUACUUCCUACCCCCGUAACCCGAUACGGAGUCGUCGUCGUCGAUCAACUGGUCCUCUAGGUUCGACCACUGAAAAACCUCGACUUACUAAACGAACUUGGUGAUCUCCUCCUUCACGGGUAAGGAAAUAAACGUCUACCGUCACUAAACUGAAAUAGAGAACCAGACUUAUAACCUCACGGGGGACCCCUUCGAGUGGGACUGUCGAGACAUAAACCUCCGGGAGGGGGAGUCUUAGAACUUCUUGAAGAUCGAAGAGACCAGUAGGAUCUAGUUGUGGGUCUUAAAGUCCGUUUAAAGCUGGAAUUGAACGGUUAAGGUCUCGAUCGACCUCAACGUCUCCGAGUACAAGACCUCGUCUGACGAGACGUCGGGGUGUUACUGUUGAACAACGUACUAACGUUGUUGAACAACGUCAAGUUGUCCUUCUACGGUAAUGUCUAUACGACGUUCAUCAGGGCCUUCGAGGAGUAAACUGAGAUGAAGGUGAUCUACUAUCGGGACCGAGACGAUUACAAAUACGAUACUUCCAGUUGGUUUUGUAACUGACACGUGGAGGUUUCGGAUGGUUAAGACGGGGUCUUCCUCAUGUCAACCUGUUGUCACUCUUGUUGUAAUACCGAGUCCUUCUGUGUUGACCACCGUUUAGAAUAAGGUGUCCUACGUGUGUGACGAAGACUGUCGAGACUUCUACGUCCUCUACUAAAGGACACAUUCCAGACCUCGACACCUUGUUCGUGAAAUUCGGACGACUACCUUACCUGUCUCACCAAGUCUAAUCGGACCUCGUCCUUCAAAGAAGUCGGGUUGUUCGAUAUUGUGGACGGGCGUUGUCACACCACCUACCAGUUCCUCGUGUGAACCGUUCGUGUAGACGACAAAUACGAUCUUUCUUUUCUUUUCUGUUCCGUGGGUAUACACUUUGACUCCGGUUACAAUUCCUAACGUGUCUCCUCUACGAAGUCACCGGGUUCUUUUUCCUCUGUUUCCCAUGACGAUUCCUCCACGUCUUCUUCGGACGUUAGAAGUACGGGAUCUUAAAAAAUCAAAGUCAAUACGACGAUACAUUACUACGACCUGGACUAAUAAUCGUGAAAAUAAUCACCCUAUAAAUAAAAUUUAACUUUGGAAUGUCAUACCCGACGGAAAACAAGUUCAUAACAUUCUUGAAACAGUCUACUAUACCGACCUUUGAAGAGAAUAGAGUCAGGACGAAUAAGGUAAAAAACCCCUCUAUAAUCACUGUGAACGUGGUAAACCUUACCAAAAACACGACACGAACUGACAAUAAACCAGUAAACAGUACUAAACUCUAAAACAAACUUUCACUACCUAGUCAAUACCUACUGAAGACGAUAACAGUGUGACACCCGAAAACUUUCAAUUGACCUGGUAACUCGACCAAUAUCAAACAAACUAUAGUGUAGAUUUCCUGUAUUAGUGUCUGGAACGUCGAUGUGAAGUAGUUCUAAGUUUACUUGUAAAACUUAACCUUAUAAUC
rnacentral:rRNA from 1 species